AUUACCUUACUUUACACUGGAGUAUAACUCUUUUGCAAAUUUUAGUGCACUCGCAUCCCUUGGCUGACAAGCCAAUGGGGCGAAGCUACCAUCUGUCGGAUUAUGGCUGAACGCCUCUAAGUCAGAAUCCGUGCUAGAAGGCGACGAUGCUUACCUUCUCCAUAUUUAGAUGAAUACAAAUAGAGUACUCUGGUAGUGCUCCGGUAUCCUAACAGGGGGACGUUAGCCAAGUAGUGGAAGUGCUGCUUGGUGAGUUCCUGAAUUGUAAUUUCAAAUAUUGGAGAGGAUAAAUCCUUUGCAGACAACUUAAAUAAGGAACGGGGUAUUGUAGGCAGUAGAGUAGCCUUGUUGCUACAAUCUGCUGAGAUUAAGCCUUUUGUUCUUCAGGUGG
rnacentral:ncRNA from 1 species